GGCGGCAGGCCUAACACAUGCAAGUCGAGCGGAUGAGAAGAGCUUGCUCUUCGAGUUAGCGGCGGACGGGUGAGUAAUGCCUAGGAAUCUGCCUGGUAGUGGGGGACAACGUUUCGAAAGGAACGCUAAUACCGCAUACGUCCUACGGGAGAAAGCAGGGGACCUUCGGGCCUUGCGCUAUCAGAUGAGCCUAGGUCGGAUUAGCUAGUUGGUGAGGUAAUGGCUCACCAAGGCGACGAUCCGUAACUGGCCCGAGAGGACCCUCAGUCACACUGGAACUGAGACACGGUCCAGACUCCUACGGGAGGCAGCAGUGGGGAAUAUUGGACAAUGGGCGAAAGCCUGAUCCAGCCAUGCCGCGUGUGUGAAGAAAGGUCUUCGGAUUGUAAAGCACUUUAAGUUUUGAGGAAGGGCAGUAAGCGAAUACCUUGCUGUUUUGACGUUACCGACAGAAUAAGCACCGGCUAACUCUGUGCCAGCAGCCGCGGUAAUAC
rnacentral:rRNA from 1 species